rnacentral:rRNA from 1 species
UGAGGAAUAUUGGUCAAUGGGCGUAAGCCUGAACCAGCCAAGUAGCGUGCAGGAAGACGGCCCUACGGGUUGUAAACUGCUUUUAUGCGGGAUAAAGUGCAAUACGUGUAUUGCUUUGCAGGUACCGCAUGAAUAAGGACCGGCUAAUUCCGUGCCAGCAGCCGCGGUAAUACGGAAGGUCCGGGCGUUAUCCGGAUUUAUUGGGUUUAAAGGGAGCGCAGGCCGCCCCUAGCGUAGUUGUGAAUGACCGCGGCUCAGCCGAUCGGCGACUGCAGCGCGAACUGGGGCGGCUUGAGUGCGCCGGAGGUAGGCGGAAUUCGUGGUGUAGCGGUGAAAUGCUUAGAUAUCACGAAGAACUCCGAUUGCGAAGGCAGCCUACCGUAGCGUUACUGACGCUGAGGCUCGAAGGUGCGGGUAUCGAACAGGAUUAGAUACC